AGCUUGUCAAUACAUUCAGGAACCUGUCCAGAAUGAAUGCAAAGAAAUCCAAUUUCAAACACUACAGUUAAUCUCUAAAGAAGUUAUUGAAUUCAUGGACUUUAUUUGGCUGUGACAGGAAACUUAAAAGAGUCCUCCUGUUCCUUUUUUGCUUGAAGCACUUUCAGACAUGAUGUGUUUUCAUGGCAUGUAAAAUGAAUUUAUGUGGAAGAAAGGAAAUAGUGAUUUCUAGGAUUUGAAAAGAAAAUGGCGUUUGUUUGACUUUUGGUGAUGAUUAAAGCUCCUUGGAUAACGAAAUCCCAAAUUGUAUAAAAUAUGAAAGCAAUUCAUUUUUCCAGUGAUACUGAAUGCUCAACUUGUUACUUCUUCUUCUUUCUUUUUUUUUU
rnacentral:misc_RNA from 1 species